GAUGAAGAACGUAGCGAAAUGCGAUACUUGGUGUGAAUUGCAGAAUCCCGUGAACCAUCGAGUCUUUGAACGCAAGUUGCGCCCGAAGCCAUUAGGCCGAGGGCACGCCUGCCUGGGUGUCACACACCGUUACCCUCGCGCCAACGUCCAUCGUUGGCCGCGGCGCGGGGCGUGCGCUGACCUCCCGCGAGCGGGGUCUCGUGGUUGGUUGAAAAUCGAGUUCGCGGUCGAGGGUGCCGUGAUGAAAUGGUGGACGGGCGACGCCCGAGGCCAAUCACGCGCGACUCCGUCCGGCUCGGACUCCUGGACCCCUUCGGCGUCUCCGGACGCUCUUUGGCGAGACCUCAGGUCAGGCGGGGCUACCCGCUGAGUUUAAGCAUAUCAAUAAGCGGAGGA
rnacentral:misc_RNA from 1 species